rnacentral:tRNA from 1 species
GUCCCCGUAGUUCAAUGGAUAGAACAACUCCGUCCUAAGGAGUGGAUGACUGUUCGAUUCAGUCCGGGGACACCA